ACUGUGGAGCGUCAUACAAACCAAAGUAGCCAAGGCAAAAUGGGACGCUACGAAGCAGUAA
rnacentral:ncRNA from 1 species